GGGGAUUUAGCUCAGCGGCAUAAGCGCCUGCCUUGCAAGCAGGCAGUCGUGAGUUCAGUCUCUG
rnacentral:tRNA from 1 species